rnacentral:rRNA from 1 species
CCCUUAGAUGUUCUGGGCCGCACGCGCGCUACACUGAUGCGUUCAACAAGUUUCCUUGGCCGAGAGGCCUGGGCAAUCUUCUUAAUAUGUAUCGUGAUAGGGAUAGAUUAUUGCAAUUAUUAAUCUUGAACGAGGAAUGCCUAGUAGGCGCAAGUCAUCAGCUUGCGUCGAUUACGUCCCUGCCCUUUGUACACACCGCCCGUCGCUCCUACCGAUUGGGUGUGCUGGUGAAAUGUUCGGAUCGGCCGUUUGUCGCGGUUUCCGCGGCUCGUGGCUGAGAAGUUCAUUAAACCCUCCCACCUAGAGGAAGGAGAAGUCGUAACA